rnacentral:rRNA from 1 species
CAGUAGCCACGGUAAUACGUAGGUGGCAAGCGUUGUCCGGAAUUAUUGGGCGUAAAGGGCUCGCAGGCGGUUUCUUAAGUCUGAUGUGAAAGCCCCCGGCUCAACCGGGGAGGGUCAUUGGAAACUGGGAAACUUGAGUGCAGAAGAGGAGAGUGGAAUUCCACGUGUAGCGGUGAAAUGCGUAGAGAUGUGGAGGAACACCAGUGGCGAAGACGACUCUCUGGUCUGUAACUGACGCUGAGGAGCGAAAGCGUGGGGAGCGAACAGGAUUAGAUACCCCCGUAGUCCCUGUCUCUUAUAC